GAUGAACGCUAGCUACAGGCUUAACACAUGCAAGUCGAGGGACCGGCGCACGGGUGAGUAAAACGUAUCCAACCUGCCCUUUACCCGGGGAUAGCCUUUCGCAAGAAAGAUUAAUACCCGAUGUAAAGUAUGGGGAUGCGUUCCAUUAGGUUGUUGGUGAGGUAAUGGCUCACCAAGCCUUCGAUGGAUCGGGGGUCUGAGAGGAAGGUCCCCCACAUUGGAACUGAGACACGGUCCAAACUCCUACGGGAGGAAGCAGUGAUGAAUAGUGGUCAAUGGGCGGUAGCCUGAACCAGCCAAGUAGCGUGAAGGAUGAAGGCUUAUGGGUCGUAAACUUCUUUUAUAUAAGAAUAUGUAUUAUAUGAAUAAGGAUCGGCUAACUCCGUGCCAGCAGCCGCGGUAAUUC
rnacentral:rRNA from 1 species